AGGGGAGUAUUUUCAACGGUAGAAUAGUGGUCUCCAAAACCAAAGGUUAAGGGUUCGAGUCCCUUCUUCCCUG
rfam:Klebsormidium nitens mitochondrial DNA, scaffold: kfl01814, whole genome shotgun sequence.